UGCAUUCCGGUGAGAAUUCCUGUACUCAAAUCGUCACCCAUCUUAAAGUUAAUCAAACGGACAGGCUUAAGCGUGAAGGCGAUGGCCGGCCCACCGACUCCCCGUCCUCUGUUUCGAUAAUACCUCGCCGACGUCGCCCCAAGGAUUCAGGUUCGGUCGCCAUGGCGGGAUCUCUGCGGCCUCAUAUUGUCCUGCUCGUCUUCCUCACCGUCCUCGCUUCGAUCUCUUCGUGUAUGGCGGAGAUUAAGAACCUAAAGAUCUCCUCCGACUUCCGGGCGAUCAUCCUGUUCGAGAAGUUCGGCUUUACCCGGCGUGGCGAGGUGGCCGUUGCUGUUUCCGACGUCUCCAUCUCCUCCACCCUCGGCGCCCCCGACCACUCCCUCCUUGGCUUCUUCCUCCCCUCCGACGAGAGCCUCAUCCAGGCGGCUUACGAUUCCCAGCAUGGCCGCAGCUCCUACUCUGACACUAAGCCUAGCCCCAAUACUGGAUGCGUCCUCCAUAGCUCCUACGUCCGCCUCCUCUUCACCUUCGAUGAACUCUCCCCGGCGCCCUCAGCCGCAUUAAACCGCUCCUUCCCCAUCUCCCACCCGGACGAGUACAGCCUCUUCUUCGCCAACUGCGCCCCAGAGACCGCGGUCACCAUGUCCGUCCGCACCGAGAUGUACAACACCCGUCCCGAUGGUUCCCGUGACUACCUCUCCGUCGGCCAGUCCCCCGUUCCCUCCCUGUACACCUUCUUCGCCGCCGCCUUCUUCGCCGUGUGGAUCCACCUCGCCCUUUUCAAGAACCGCCUCGCCGCCCACCGGCUCCACCACCUCAUGGCCGGUCUCCUCUUCACCAAGGCUCUCAACCUCAUCUUUGCCGCCGAGGACCAGCACUACAUCCGCCAGACCGGCACCCCCCACGGGUGGGACGUCCUAUUCUACCUCUUCCAAUUCCUGAAAGGCGUCCUCUUGUUCACCGUCAUCGUCCUCAUCGGCACCGGAUGGUCCUUCCUCAAGCCCUUCCUCCAGGAGCGAGAGAAGAAGGUGCUCAUGAUCGUGAUCCCGCUCCAGGUCGUCGCCAACAUCGCGUCGGUCGUGAUAGGCGAGACCGGACCCUUCAUCCGGGACUGGGUCUCCUGAAAUCGGGUCCUCCUCCUCAUCGAUGUCAUCUGCUGCUGCGCCAUCCUGUUCCCCAUCAUCCGGUCAAUCAGAUCGCUGCGCGAGACUUCAAAGACGGACGGGAAGGCCGCGAGAAACGUUGCCAAGCUCACUCUUUUCCGGCAGUUCUACACUGUGGUGAUCGGGUAUCUGUACUUCACGAGGGUUGUGGUGUACGCGUUGAAGACGAUCACGUCUUACAAGUAUCGGUGGGUCAGCGUGGCAGCCGAAGAGACAGCGAGCCUCGCCUUCUACAUCUUCAUGUUUUACAUGUUUAGGCCGGUGGAGAAGAACCACUACUUUGCGCUCGAUGACGAAGAGGAAGAGGCCGCGGAGAUGGUGCUUCGCGACGAAGAAUUCGAGCUUUGAAUGACAGUGAAUUCCCAGUAUGCCUGUAUGGGAAUGUUGUAACAUGGAUAAAAACUAUAGUUAUAAUUUUGGACGUUUCAUCUUUAUCUUCUUUUAUUUAAGCAUCUGAGUUAUCUUAUAUUUGUCUUCUAUUUAUAUGGCUACGAAGCAUCCAUUUGUCUUCUA